rnacentral:lncRNA from 1 species
GAAGCACAACCUGUGAAGUGUAGUACCGGGAGCACUUGUGCCUUCUUCCAACCCCCACUUCUCCCGCCCCAGUGCCUUCCCGGUUUUACUCUGGCUUCCCCCAGUGGCAUUCUAAAAGAAGGGCAGGGGACACAGCGGCCAGGAGCGUGGAGUAUUGGUGCGUAGACCAACCCUCGUCCUCUUGGCUGCGCACUUUUUAAGGCUUUCCACGUAGUUGAAACAGUGACAACAAAGGAGGGGCCGCUUCCCUGCUAGGUAAUUUCCGGCCCUGUGGGCAGGUAGGGGCGGAAACGCCCGCCGCAGGGAGCCGGGCUGGAGGCACCUGCUGAGCCACGCGCGGGCAUCCCGCUUUAAAUUUGAAUCCGAACUAGUCCCCGCCCCCAACUUUGCGAAUGCUGCUAGAGACCUGGCCCGGGCUAACGCGAGGGGGAGUGUCCUGUGUUUUAAUUAGCCCCACAUCUCUUCUGCUCUAUUUGUUUCUAACACCCGACCAGCGUCCUCGGGAGCUGGGAGUUUUAUUAAGUCGCCAAUUCCCGCUCCUACAUUUUCUUGAGGCUUUCACGCGCCUCGAUCGCCGCUCACCAGAUCGAAACAAAUAGCCGAACCCUGGUUUACGGAUGGGCAUACUUCCUUUCACUUAGGAACAACUUUUAAAACCUAGCAGUAAACUGGAAACUCAUGACCUAGUAAAUUGAAAAAUGUCUAAGUCAGCGGUAGCUACAUCAUGAAUUUUACUUUGUUCUUUCUCAGAGUCAAUAUAAGUACGCAUUUUCUGUUGUAAAUAUCUUUCUUUGUAACUAGUCAUUAUGUUCUGAUAUUUCUUUAUCGUUAAUGGUAGAUUUUCCUGGGCAAAACUCAGGUCUAAUUAUUUGAAGAAUUUUUAAUAAAGCCUUAUGAUUUUUUCACUUUUUUUUAAGAGAAGUGAACUGUAAUUCAUGGUCACCAAAGAAAAGUUUAAAAAAAACCAAACAAUUCUUGAUAGUCUGUCUUAAGAAAAAUGACUGUAAAGUUUAAAUUGGAAAGAAUUACCACUUCUACAUAGGAAAAAAAAAAUCGUAUCUAGAAGAUAGCAGUUAUUUUAACGGCUAAAUUUUUAAUCAUGGGUCUUAGUCUAUUCUUUGAAUUCCUUACACUGUGCAAAUACGUUAAAGUUAUUGUCAGUGACAGCCAGUGAAUUUGGGGUGGUAUUGACUUGUUCAUGGUAAUUAAGCCCCAGGGUGUAUGCAUGACUGUUUAAACCAAAUAAUUGGGCUACCCUAUAAUCUAAUUAUUUCAGCCUACACCAACCAGCACUCAGUGAAGGAAAUGCAAAAUUUAAUCAUGUUACAAUUAAUCUGUAAAUUCGCCUGAGUUAUAUUUACCAUCAUUACUGGAGGAAGUCUCAGAAUUAUCAACCUAUUUAAAACAAGUACAUGCACCUGCUCUGAGGGUAACAAAUUUGAAAUCAUCUCCACUAAGAACCAAAGUAUGCUUAUUAAAUUUUUCUGUUUAAUUUUUGUUUUGCUCUUUGUUUCAAAAAGUAAAUUAAUAUCACUUAGAAAAAGUAAUUGAGGACAAUGCAUAUGCUAUUCAUUAUUAUUUCAUUUCCAUAAAAGGAAAUUUUAAGGAAAUGAAUUUUUAUGUAAGGAAGAUAGCUCUGUGAGAAAAAAAUAGUUUAAAAUAGUCUGUAUCAAUGAUUCAUUUUCUUCUUAAUGAUAAUAUUUAUGUUUCGAAAUGUAGGCCCAGGGCCUAGCACAAUACCUGGCCGUAGUAGGUACCCAUAAAUAUUUGUUGAAUAAAAAUAAUGAAUAAUACAGUUACAUAUGUUAGGAUUAUUUUAAAGUUUUAUAAAGUCAUUUAUUCAGCAAACAUUUAUGAACAUCUACAUUCUGCCAUAAACUUUACUAGGUGCUAAGGAUAUGAAAAUGUGUAAGAUACUGCUUUGACCUCCGCAAACUUAGUGUGUCCUCACAGCUCUGGGGAGGUGGGAACGCUGUUUAUCCCAAUUACCCAGGAUGGGGAAAUUGAGACAUCAAGAUGUUACAUAAUUUGCUUGUUUUAGUCAGGGUUCUCUGGAGAAACAACACCAACAGGAAAUUUAUAUAUAUAACUUCAUUAUGUAUAUGAAAGAGAUUUCUUGUAAAGAGAAAUACAUUUCUAUUCAUACAUUAUGAAGGCUGAGAAGUUCCCACUUUGGCAGUCUGAAGGCCUAAGAACCAGAAGAGCCAAUGGUGUAAGUUCCAGGCCAAGGCCAAAGGCUUGAUUCAACUUUAUGUUUGUCCCACUGUUAUCCUUUCUUAACAUCCACUCCUAUACUCAUUACCUCGAUUACUGUCUGUAUAAGUUAGAAGACUCAAGGAGUUCUUUUGGAGUGCUGUGCAUCUCCUCACAAAUCAGAGAAUACCCAGUUCAUGAUGGGCAGCUCAGGUCUCAUGGUAAUUUGGUGGCUCAUGAUUAAGCAUUCAACCUCUGCCGAAAUCCAGUAGCAGGCUAAGAACUAUUUCUCAAAUGGAGUGUAGUUAUCUAUAGAGGAUGGCAGGGCUUUGUUCUAAAAUCCUAAUGAGCUUUGAUUCACUUGUUGGAAACUGGCAGCAUCCCUGUCAGCCAUGGACACCUCAGGGACCUUUGCAUCUGUUGGAUCAUAUGGCCCAAUGGCAAAGCAGCUUGCGCAGCAGUCUGCAGUUGUUGCAGAACCUUCUCUUAUUCUGGAUCUCAUUCCAAAGUAACAACUUUUGAGUCAUUUGAAGGAUAUGUUGCCUCCAAAAUCCAAAAAAGCCUACUAGGCAUUGUGCCCCUUUUUAGUUGUAGGAGGAGCCAGAUGCAACAACUUAACCUUCACCUUAGAAGGGAUAUCUUGACCUGCCCCACACCUGGACCUCUAGAAAUUUCACUGAGGUAGAAGGCCCUUGAAUUUAUGUCAGGUUUAUUUCCCACCCUCUGAUGCACAACUGUCCUACCAGUAAGUCUGAAGCAGUUGCUACUUCUUGCUCACUAGGUCCAAUCAGCAUGAUGCCGUCAAUUUAAUGGACUAGUGUGAUAGCUUUGAAAGGGAAAGGAGAUCAAGAUCCCUGAGAACUAAAUUAUGACACAAGGCUGGAGAGUUGACAUACCCAUAAGGUAGGACAGUGAAGGUGUAUUUGUUGAAAGCAAGCUGCUUCUUGUGGGCCUUAUUGACAGAGAUGGAGAAAAAGGCAUUUGCCAGAUUAAUAGGUACAUACCAGUUUCCAGGGGGUGUGCUAAUUUCCUCAACCAUUGAAACCACAUCUGGUACAGCAGCUGCAAGUGGAGUCACUACCCACUUAAGCUGACAGUAAUCCAUUGUCAUUCUCCAAGAUCCAUCUGUCUUCUGGAUAGGCCAAAUGGGAGAAUUAAAUGGGAAUGCGGUGGGAAUAACCACUCCUACAUCUUUCGUAUACUUGAUGGUGGCACAAAUCUCUGCAAUUCCUCCAGUAAUGAAGUGUUCCUUUUGGCUUAUUAUUUUCUUAGACAGAGGCAAAUCUAGUGGCUUCCGCUUGCCUUUUCCCACGAUAAUAACCCUCACUCCACAGGUAAAGGAACUAAUGUGUAGAUUAUGUCAGCAGCUUCCAUUUUCCAGGGUGGAGGAAAUUGAGGUAUAGAGGUGAUAAGUAACUUGCCCAAUGUCAUACCACCAGCUGAGAUUUAAACACAGGUCAGGGACUGCACUCUUAACCAUAACACUAUGCUGCUUACUUUGGAUCAGGCAAAAUCCUGGAGGUGCAUAUAGUUCAUGUGGGAAGAGAGCAUAUUAACACAUGAUGUCCCUAUCUGUAAUCUCAAUAUAAUAAAAAUAUACAUAUGGAUGCACACUUAUGUUCACACAAAAAUUACACAAAUAGCAACUCUACUAUAAUUGCCAAAAACUAGAAACAGUCCAAAGGUCAUUCAACAAGUGAAUGGGUAAACAAACUGGGGUACAUUCAUAACUGGAAAUAUUCAGCAGUAAAGAAGAAUGAAUUAUUGACACACGCAGCAACUUCAAUGAAUCUCAAAGGUAUUAUAAUUAGUGAAAGCAGGAAAUCUCAAAAGGAAUCAUACUCUGUGAUUCCAUUCUAUGACAUUCCUGAAAUAACAAAACUAUAGUGAUGGAAAACAGAUCAAUAACUGCCAGGAGGUAAUGGUGAGAGAAGGUGCAACUAUAAGAGAUAGGUGUAUAGGAGGGUUUUUUGGGCAAUAGAGUUGUUCUGUAUCAUGAUUCUACUGGUGGUAACACAAACCUCUACAUAUGGUUUUAUGCAUUAUAAUCACACAUUACACACACACAGGUGUAGGAAUGAUACAAGGAUAUGAUGAGCCUACCUAGAAGUUAAUAUUGUGAAUGUUUCUUGGUUAACAGUUAUAAUGUAUGGAUGUGAAUAUAUCAAUCUAUUUUGCAGCAGGGCAACACAUAAGCCUUCACAGCUAAGUGUGGCCAUGUGACUAAAUUUUGGCUUUUGCUUUUAAGGAGUUUUGGGGUGGACUUUCUAGGAGAACACUUAAAAGAAGCAGUUCUUCUGUUCUUCCUCCCCUUUUUUUUUUCCUUCCUACUGCCUGGAAUGCAGAAGUGAAGACCAAAAUUCCUGCAGCUUUCUUGGGCCAUGGAGUACUGUUGUUCUCAAGAGACCAGACCAUGUUAGGAGCAACAAGCCAAUCAGAUCUUUUCCACAGCUGAUGGGAAGACAGGGAUUGGGACUGGGCCUGGCACAGACUUCAUUGAACUGAACUUAACUCUUGGCUCUGCUACAUAGUUUUGUUCCAGACUGAAGAAUCAGACUCUGGGAAAUGGAUUUUAAUGAUUGUAGUUAUCUUGAGUGAAUAAAUGGAAAAUUAUCAUUUUUAAUAAAUAUCUGUAAUAUUUUAGCUGUUCUUAAAGAUUAUCAUCUAAUAGAGCAAAUUAAUUUCUUUAGUGAACUUGGAGUGUAAUUCAUAAGUAAUUCAUCUUAUAGCAGGGCUUUCAAGCCAUGUUUCAUUAAGCCCUCAGCCCUGGCCUUAAGGUAGGAUAAAGACCAAUCCUGAUACCUCCUCUUAACUGGAAUGGCUCUGCUUUACCUAUUUUGGAAUUCAAGAUAAAAUUUCAUUUGAAAAUAUGGUAUCACUGUUUUAGAAAAAUUAUAUGUAAUAGGCAUGUAUACAUUAAAUUUAUUGUCCUUGAAUAU